rnacentral:rRNA from 1 species
GACGAACGCUGGCGGCGUGCCUAACACGUGCAAGUCGAACGGGGCCAGGGGCAACUCUGGUUCAGUGGCGGACGGGUGCGUAACACGUGAGGAACAUGACCUUCGGCGGGGGAGUAGCCGGCCCAACGGCCGGGUAAUACCGCGUACGACCAUUUGGGGACGAUCCUCGAGUGGUGAAAGACAGCAAUGCGCCGAUGGAGUGCCUCGCGGCCUAUCAGCUAGUUGGUGAGGUAACGGCNCACCAAGGCAACGA